rnacentral:ncRNA from 1 species
UGGUCCUAGCCUUGAAAUCAGUUUUUACUUAUUAUACACAUGCAAGUCUCCGCCCCCCUGUGAAAACGCCCUUAAACUCCUAUUAGGAAUAAGGAGCUGAUAUCAGGCUCAAUUCUUAGCCCAAAACAUCUAGCUAUGCCACACCCACAAGGGAAUUCAGCAGUGAUUAACAUUGGAUAUAAGCGACAGCUUGAUCCAGCUAAAGUAAAAAGAGCCGGCAAAUCUGGUGCCAGCCGCCGCGGUUACACCAUGUGGCUCAAAUUGACAUCUUUCGGCGUAAAGCGUGAUUUAAGAGACUAAAAAAUAUAGUUAAACUAGAAUUAAGCUGUGACACGCCUGUUUCUAAGAAAAACAACAACGAAAGUCACUAUAGAUUUAUCAACUUGAAUUCACAACAACUAGGACACAAACUGGGAUUAGAUACCCCACUAUGCCUAGUCGUAAACCUUAACUUACACUAAAAUCGCCCGGGAACUACGAGCAAAGCUUAAAACCCAAAGGACUUGACGGUACCCCAAAUCCACCUAGAGGAGCCUGUCCUAUAAUCGAUAACCCCCGUUUAACCUCACCAUUUUUAGCCUUUCAGCCUGUAUACCUCCGUCGUCAGCUUACCUCGUGAGUGAGUUAUAGUGAGCUUAAUGUCUUUACAUCAACACGUCAGGUCAAGGUGCAGCAUAUAAAAUGGAAAGAGAUGGGCUACACUCUCUAACAUAGAAAAUACGAAAAACUAACAUGAAAUUUAGUUAGAAGGAGGAUUUAGAAGUAAAAAGAAAAAAUGAGUGUUCUUUUUAACCCGGCACUGGGGUGUGUACACACCGCCCGUCACCCUCCUCAAAGCAUAAAGACAGUAAUUAACACACUAAUGCAAUACAGAAGAGGCAAGUCGUAACAUGGUAAGCAUACCGGAAGGUGUGCUUGGAAA